rnacentral:rRNA from 1 species
GACGAACGCUGGCGGCGUGCCUAAUACAUGCAAGUAGAACGCUGAAGGAGGAGCUUGCUCUUCUGGAUGAGUUGCGAACGGGUGAGUAACGCGUAGGUAACCUGCCUGGUAGCGGGGGAUAACUAUUGGAAACGAUAGCUAAUACCGCAUAAGAGUAGAUGUUGCAUGACAUUUACUUAAAAGGUGUAAUUGCAUCACUACCAGAUGGACCUGCGUUGUAUUAGCUAGUUGGUGGGGUAACGGCUUACCAAGGCGACGAUACAUAGCCGACCUGAGAGGGUGAUCGGCCACACUGGGACUGAGACACGGCCCAGACUCCUACGGGAGGCAGCAGUAGGGAAUCUUCGGCAAUGGACGGAAGUCUGACCGAGCAACGCCGCGUGAGUGAAGAAGGUUUUCGGAUCGUAAAGCUCUGUUGUAAGAGAAGAACGAGUGUGAGAGUGGAAAGUUCACACUGUGACGGUAUCUUACCAGAAAGGGACGGCUAACUACGUG